AGAAAAGCCGUAUAUGUGUUGAAUACCUAGUACCCGUACCCUAAACCGACACAGGUGGGUAGGUUGAGUAUACUAAGGGGCGCGAGAUAACUCUCUCUAAGGAACUCGGCAAAAUGGCCCCGUAACUUCGGGAGAAGGGGUGCCAUCGCAAGAUGGCCGCAGUGAAAUGAUCCAAGCGACUGUUUACCAAAAACACAGGUCUCUGCAAAGUCGAAAGACGACGUAUAGGGGCUGACGCCUGCCCAGUGCCGGAAGGUUAAGGAAGUUGGUCAGCGAAAGUGAAGCUAACGACUGAAGCCCCGGUGAACGGCGGCCGUAACUAUAACGGUCCUAAGGUAGCGAAAUUCCUUGUCGGGUAAGUUCCGACCCGCACGAAAGGCGUAACGAUUUGGAUGCUGUCUCGGAGAGAGACUCGGCGAAAUAGGAUUGUCUGUGAAGAUACGGACUACUUGCACCCGGACAGAAAGACCCUAUGAAGCUUUACUAUAACUUGGAAUUGGGUUCGGGCUU
rnacentral:rRNA from 1 species